UGAGUACGAGAGGCUACGGCCUCGAAGCAGUCUAUGUCAUACUUCCAAGAAAAGCUUGCAAUGUCAUAAACAAAUAAUGCCUGUACCAUAACCGACACAGGUGGGUAGGUAGAGUAUACUAAGGGGCGCGAGUUAACUCUCUCUAAGGAACUCGGCAAAAUGACUCCGUAACUUCGGGAGAAGGAGUGCCUUAUUUAUAAGGUUGCAAUAACAAGAUCCAAGCAACUGUUUACCAAAAACACAGGUCUCCGCUAAGUCGUAAGACGAUGUAUGGGGGCUGACGCCUGCCCAGUGCCAGAAGGUUAAAGAAGUUGGUUAGCAUUAGCGAAGCUGAUAACUGAAGCCCUGGUGAACGGCGGCCGUAACGAUAACGGUCCUAAGGUAGCGAAAUUCCUUGUCGGGUAAGUUCCGACCCGCACGAAAGGCGUAAUGAUUUGGAUACUGUCUCGGAGAGAGGCUCGGUGAGAUAGACUUGUCUGUGAAGAUGCGGACUACCUGCACCUGGACAGAAAGACCCUAUGAAGCUUUACUGUAACUUGAAAUUGAAAUUGGACUUUAUUUGCGCAGUAUAGGUGGGAGGCGUUGAGAGUAUUCUUGCGGGAAUAUUGGAGCCAUCAGUGAGAUACCACUCUUGUAAUGUUAGAUUUCUAACUUUGGAUCAUUAUCUGGUCAAAGGACAGUUUCAGGCGGGCAGUUUGACUGGGGCGGUCGCCUCCCAAACGGUAACGGAGGCGUACAAAGGUUUCCUCUGAACGGGUAGAAAUCGUAUCUAGAGUGUAAAGGCAUAAGGAAGCUUGACUGUGAGACCUACAAGUCGAGCAGGGACGAAAGUCGGUCUUAGUGAUCUGACGGUGCUGAGUGGAAAGGCCGUCACUCAACGGAUAAAAGUUACUCUAAGGAUAACAGGCUGAUCUCCCCCAAGAGUUCACAUCGACGGGGAGGUUUGGCACCUCGAUGUCGGCUCAUCGCAUCCUGGGGCGGUAGUACGUCCCAAGGGUUGGGCUGUUCGCCCAUGAAAGCGGUACGCGAGCUGGGUUCAGAACGUCGUGAGACAGUUCGGUCCAUAUCCGGUGUAGGCGUUAGAAUAUUGAGAGGAGCCUUCUUUAGUACGAGAGGACCGAGAAGGACAUACCUCUGGUGUACCAGUUAUCGUGCCAACGGUAAACGCUGGGUAGCUAUGUAUGGAGAGGAUAACCGCUGAAAGCAUCUAAGUGGGAAGCCCACCUCAAGAUAAGCAUUCUCAUAG
rnacentral:rRNA from 1 species